rnacentral:rRNA from 1 species
GGCCGCGUGCAUGCUAACUCGCCGCCAUGGCGGCCGCGGGAAUUCGAUUAGAGUUUGAUCCUGGCUCAGAUUGAACGCUGGCGGCAUGCCUUACACAUGCAAGUCGAACGGCAGCACGGGAGCAAUCCUGGUGGCGAGUGGCGAACGGGUGAGUAAUACAUCGGAACGUGUCCUGUAGUGGGGGAUAGCCCGGCGAAAGCCGGAUUAAUACCGCAUACGCUCUACGGAGGAAAGGGGGGGAUCUUAGGACCUCUCGCUACAGGGGCGGCCGAUGGCAGAUUAGCUAGUUGGUGGGGUAAAGGCCUACCAAGGCGACGAUCUGUAGCUGGUCUGAGAGGACGACCAGCCACACUGGGACUGAGACACGGCCCAGACUCCUACGGGAGGCAGCAGUGGGGAAUUUUGGACAAUGGGCGCAAGCCUGAUCCAGCAAUGCCGCGUGUGUGAAGAAGGCCUUCGGGUUGUAAAGCACUUUUGUCCGGAAAGAAAUCCUUUGGGCUAAUACCCUGAGGGGAUGACGGUACCGGAAGAAUAAGCACCGGCUAACUACGUGCCAGCAGCCGCGGUAAUACGUAGGGUGCAAGCGUUAAUCGGGAUUACUGGGCGUAAAGCGUGCGCAGGCGGUCCGCUAAGACAGAUGUGAAAUCCCCGGGCUUAACCUGGGAACUGCAUUUGUGACUGGCGGGCUAGAGUAUGGCAGAGGGGGGUAGAAUUCCACGUGUAGCAGUGAAAUGCGUAGAGAUGUGGAGGAAUACCGAUGGCGAAGGCAGCCCCCUGGGCCAAUACUGACGCUCAUGCACGAAAGCGUGGGGAGCAAACAGGAUUAGAUACCCUGGUAGUCCACGCCCUAAACGAUGUCAACUAGUUGUCGGGUCUUCAUUGACUUGGUAACGUAGCUAACGCGUGAAGUUGACCGCCUGGGGAGUACGGUCGCAAGAUUAAAACUCAAAGGAAUUGACGGGGACCCGCACAAGCGGUGGAUGAUGUGGAUUAAUUUCGAUGCAACGCGAAAACCUUACCUACCCUUGACAUGUCAGGACCUGCUGAAAGUGGGGGUGCCGAAAGGGACUGAUACACAGGUGCCUGCAUGCCUGUCGUCAGCUCGUGUCGUGAGAUGUGGUAGGUUCCCGGCAACGAGCGCAUCUGUCUUAGCUGCUACGCCAAGGAGCAACCUCUUAAG